UCAAGGGACAUAUUUCAUUCAAAGUGGAAGUCUAAUCUUAUCAUGUAAGAGUACAGUUCAUGUAAAUAAGAUGGGUUGCUGUAGUUGAUGGUUGAUUUAACAGCUUCAUCCAUCAGUUUACACACACAUUGGUGCAAAUGCAAAGAAACUGACUACCCAUUGCAUUGCAUCUGCAUAUAUGCUACAUUAUUUACAUUAUUUUAGGACAUACAGACCUGAUCAAAAUCUUAAGACCAGUUGAAAAAUAGCUAAAAUUUACCUUUUGCACAUUUGGAACUUAAUGAGGUUUUAAGUAGAGCUACAAUAUGCAAAAGUAAGAAGGGGGAGUGAGACAAAAAGCACUUUGAAAAAGUAAUUUAUUGAAAACAACAAGUAAACUGAAAUAGGCUGUUUAUCAGCUGAUCAAAAGUUUAAGACCAUCGCUCAAAAAAUUACAAAAAACUCUCCAAACCAGAACAAAAAAUGUUCUCAGUAGGACUCAGUAAUGAGUAGCUCCACUGUUCUUGUUAAUCACUUCAAAAAUUGGUUUGGGGAUGCUUGAUGCGAGUGUUUCCAGGAGGCUGGUGGGAACAUUGCUCCAAGUGGUGAAGAUGGCUUCAUGAAGGGCAUCAACUGUCUGGAACUGAUGGCCAUUUUAUAAACUUCCCUUGCCAUCCAUCCCCAAAUGUUCUCUAUGGGAUUUAAAUCAGGGGAACAUGCGGGAUGGUCCAAAAGAGUGAUGGUAUUCUACCUGAAGAAGUUCUUGGUCAAGCGAGCAUUGUGAACUGCAGCGUUGUCCUGUUGAAAAACCCAGCUGUUACCACACAGACGAGGGCCCUCAGUCAUGAGGGAUGCCUGCUGCAACAUCUGCACGUAACCAGCCGCCGUUUGACGACCUGCACCACCUGAAGCUCCAGUGUUCCACUGAAUGAAAAAGCACCCAGAUCAUGAUGGACCCCCCUCCACUGUGCCGGGUAGAAAACAUCUCAGGUGGGAUCUCCUUGUCAUGCCAGUAACAUUGGAAGCCAUCUGGACCGUCAAGAUGCCGUCUGAUGGUUAUUGCGCUGCAGUCGGCACCAGUAAGGGCCUUAAUUUGGGUCGAGGACCUCCCUGCGUCUUGACGGACAGCCAAUCGGAUCCUCCGGCUCAGCGCAGGUGUAAUUUUUUUGGGUCUACCACUUGACUUUUUUGUUCCAUAAUGCUCAGGAUCUUUCAAAAAAUUUAGAAUGACUGUCUUACUGCGUCCAACCUCAGCAGCAAUGGCACGCUGCGAGAGGCCUUGAUUAUGCAGCUCGACCAUCCGACCACGUUCAAGAAGAGAAAGCUUCUUAGCUGUAGCCAUCAGGAGGGCAUGACCAUGUGAAUGUCUGACAGAAGAUGAGAAUUUUGAGCAGAUUUGGGCUUUUAUAGCCUGUGGUCUUAAACUUUUGAUCAGCUGAUAAACAGCCUAUUUCAGUUUACUUGUUGUUUUCAAUAAAUUACUUUUUCAAAGUG